rnacentral:snoRNA from 1 species
AUGCAUCUGACAGUCCUGGAGCAGUUAAUUUCUGCUGCUAAGGUUUCCAGUACAGAUACAAGAAAAGAAAGGUCCUCAGGCUUUCUGUCUGGUUGUGGCAGCCAAGAUUGAAUGGGGGAAUACUAAA